GAUGGUUUUACCACUUUCAGCGAUUUGCUCCGUGAGAUCUGCUAUCUCCUCUGCAAAGAGAGAAGUUUGAUUGCUCUUGAACUUCCACACAGGUUUCCACGCAGAUUUCAAGUUGAUCUAAGGCUUCUUCGUAGGCGUUUUUCAGUUUGAAGAGCUCGGUGCUCAAGGAGCGGGACUCCUUCAGAGAUGCCUCCAGCUCUGCCUGGCUCUCCUCACACUUGGUUUUCCACUCAGCGAGCACCUGCAAUGCCAGGGAGAAAAGCACCUCUGUUCAUGACCCCUCACCUCCAGCUUCUAUCUCAGGACCCGUGUCAUCCAGGGUCUGCUGGUGGGCCUCCUGCAGCGCCUUCUUCUCUCUGGUUAACUUUGCAAUGGUUUCAUCCAACCCGGCGAGUUCUUCAGUGAGGUUUUUAACCUAAGAAGAUGCCACAGGCAAUUAUAAGAAAAG